GGAGAUAUGGCUCAGUGGUUAAGAGCACUGGCUGUUCUUCCAGAGAACCCCGAGUUCAAUUCCCAGUGACCCCA
rnacentral:tRNA from 1 species